GAUAAGCUUUAUACGUGACCGUAGACAGCAGGUGCCGCAAGGCUUAAUGGUGAUUAACGCCUGCCGAGGUUAGAGAGUAUGGGUAUGGCUGUGAAAGCUGGCCCUCCGUUGUCUGCGGAGGGCUUAUUUAUUUAUAAGA
rfam:Thermacetogenium phaeum DSM 12270, complete genome.